rnacentral:rRNA from 1 species
GGGGAAUAUUGCACAAUGGGGGAAACCCUGAUGCAGCAACGCCGCGUGAAGGAUGACUGCCCUCUGGGUUGUAAACUUCUUUUAUAGGGGAAGAAAGUUAUUUUUUUUAGGAUAUUUGACGGUACCCUAUGAAUAAGCACCGGCUAACUCCGUGCCAGCAGCCGCGGUAAUACGGAGGGUGCAAGCGUUAUCCGGAUUCACUGGGUUUAAAGGGUGCGUAGGCGGGUAUGUAAGUCAGUGGUGAAAUACCGGAGCUUAACUUCGGAACUGCCAUUGAUACUAUAUAUCUUGAAUAUUGUGGAGGUAAGCGGAAUAUGUCAUGUAGCGGUGAAAUGCUUAGAGAUGACAUAGAACACCGAUUGCGAAGGCAGCUUGCUACGCAAAUAUUGACGCUGAGGCACGAAAGCGUGGGGAUCAAAC